CAGACAUUGUGUAAGCCUUUUCUUUUAGUAUACCGUGUUUUUAUGAGAUUCUUUAGCUCAACUUCCUUUUCACAAGAUACACUACCAACUCUAUAGUGCUCACACUCGUCAACUUACAGUUCUGACAGUCUUCAAAGAACUAGAACUGUCUUUCCCUCGUCUCACCACUCAGUGGCAAUGUGUUUUUUUUUUUCUAUUUUGAAAAUAUAGUUGUUUUACUUGCCCUCAAAAAAAGUCACUGACCUGGGCAAGAGGAGGAAUAGAGUUUUCCAAAUUAGUAUUAAUUUAAAGUCAGAUGCUGUAUAUCUCUGAGAGGAAAAAAAUGUCUUUUCUACAGAGAUAUUUCCAAUAUAUGAAUCCUCUGAAUAAUGUACUGGGUUCUAGUGGGCUGACAUCAUCACUGUCUUCAUUUAUUUCUUUCCCUUCUGAAAAUUCUCUAAGGAUCAACACCCCCACAGAUGAGCCAUGCAGAGAUCAGCAUUUGGGAGGGAAGCAGAGUUUGGAAUGGGAAACAUAUCUUAACACUCAAGGGGCCCCAAAUAUUAGCAGAUUGUCUCAGAAGUCCAUAGACUACUUUGUGGAUUGGAUGCUAUGCCAUCCAUUCUUCAGAGUUUUUUCUUUUCUUUUUUUUAUUGCAUGGCCAUGCUUACAGGAAAUGUUUGUUGGAUGCUUCAUACUGGAAAUCAACUUUGCAUGUGGCUAUUCUCACAAAUGUGCAAUCCCCAAAUGUGUACAUGCACCAAAACUAUGUUAGAACUAAAAGUCUGAUCAUAGAAACACCACUAAGGCCGGUGAUUAUUACCAUGAAUAAUACCCUUGACUGCAAUCAAUGAGUGUGUUUAUUUACACUGCUAUGUAUAAGCCAUGCCACAUACAUCAUUCAACUUCUAGAUUCAAAGAGCGAUAUCAAGAAAGCUAUUCAGAUAACCUGCUUUUAUGGUGGGUGUUGGAGAAGCUAUUUUACCACCAUUAGUCCAAAAUAUUUUAGAGACAAAUAUUCAGAUGAAAGGAAGACUCAUACUCUCUAACCGGAGAAGUUAUUGAGUGAGUCAUAACCAGGAGAUACACUUAAUGUAGACUCAGAUAAUAGAGAAUUUCUGAUUAGACAGACUCUUUUGACACAAGGAGAACUACUGACUUCCUGGAUCCAACUGCAGGACAAGUCAGAGCUAUGGACUUUAAUGAGUAAAGAUAAGCACAUGUGUAAGUGUUUUCAAGAUCGGGCCUUAACUGCAAACUAUUUAGAGCAAGGUCAAUAAGAUUUUUGUACAUUACUCAGAAUAAAAGGGUCACAAUCUGGACACUACCAUAAUAUAAAUUAUAAGUAAUAAGACAGCAACAAGUCAUGUCCUUUUCUAAGAGAAUUGCACCUAUUCACAAGCUUUAAAGUGCCUUAACUAAAAAACAAAGAGACAAAAUCCAGAAGCAACCUCUUCCAUAUAUGGAAAUAACUAGCCAGACCUCACAACAAAGGGAAGAUGAGGAGAUAUAACCUAUGCUUCCAAAAUAUUACACUCCAUGUUACAUGCAUCUCCCUAAAAACCCCUACAAUAAGACUUGCGAUUCUCUUUUUCAUAACAGGCAAAAUUAUUAGGCUGCAUUAGGUAAUAGUAACAUUUUUUUUACUCCAAGAAUACAAGGAAACAGCUUUCAAAUCCCUAUUUCUUAUUUUAUACGUUAUUUAACCACAAGAAAUUCCAAGGGAAUUUGUUUUCAUGUUGUCCCUGCUCCAAAAAUAUCAUUGCUGUGACCUCAUUGAUACAACCUGAAUGGGAUGUUUCUAGCAGAGAGAAAACCUUCACAAUAAUAGGGGAUUACACAGGAAGAACAGACACAAACAACAACAUAAGAGCCUUGAUGAUAUAAUCCCAUAUUCGACAGAAAGAUGGGUUGAUUGCUUUCUGCUGGCUGCAGUUUAGCAAGACCCUUAGGAGUACUCUUCCCUUAAACUCCUGCCAUCCAUCCCAAACUUACAUUGAAAUCAUACCACUAGGAAAAUAAGGCACUUCUUAGAAGUAGUCCUGACAAACAUUUUAAUGUGUUCAGCAUGCAUGAUGCUCCAGCAGAAGUUUCAAUUCAGUCUUCAUUUCUUUACCUAAUGGCACAAGGGAGGACCUGGUGUGGUGCGAUAGAAAAAGGGCCAUAUCCUUUGUGGUGUACCACAUUAAAUUAAUAUGUCAGGCUUUCUAUGUCUGUCACUGUUCACAGACGGUGGAACAAUUGUUUUGCUUCCCCACUCCCCUCUUUUUUUCCCAAUUUUCACAUAGUAUCACGCUAAAAAAGAGUUAUGGAUUUCCUUCUGAGAGGACUGCAUGGACUGAUAAAGUAAAUUCAUGGCAGAAAACAACUUGUUAUUUUCCCUUUUACCUCAUAAUUUCACUUAAGAGAGAAAGUGCAAUAAAUUUUGGCGGGAAAAAUAAGACUAUUUUGGACAUUUCUAAUGACUAGUCUGUGUAAACACUAUUGAGAAAUAUGGGUGAGAACAAUUCAUCCAGAGGAAUGAUUAUUUUUCUUGCCCCGAGCCCUAAACAGCACUUUUGUGAAGUAUUUUAAAUUGUCUGAAGUUCAUUUAAGAAGAGGAAGAAGCAAAAAAAGAAUGUUUGGAAAACUCUCAUAGGCUUUCAUGUUUAAAUGCUUUAUUCUUUCAUGAUUAUGAAACAUUUACUUUCUAACUCAACUGAAGAACUGUUGCCCAAACUUUCCUAACACACAGUUAGUGGGCCAUUUUGAUCUCACUUACUCUAGAUAUAUAUCAGAAUAGCUGAGAUCAGAAUCUGAUCCAAGGUAUCGAUGCAACAUUUAGAACAAUGGGGUCCUGGUCCCAGACUGGGGCCCAUAGGGGCUACGAUAAGAUAAAUAAUGAAUAAUAAUACACAGUUGGACACUCUUGCCAUGCACACGAUGUGUUGGAGCUAAAUUCUCUGCUAGUGUAAACUCGCACAGCUCCACUACCUGUAAUGGAGCUUCAGCAAUUCAUGCCCGCAGAGAAUUUGGCCCUUGGUCUUUAGUGUUUAAGCUUCCCUGACACUACUUAAAUAUGGUGCCUCAGUAUAGCUCCUAUUAUCUCCAGAACUCUGCUACAGGCUGGCUGGGCAUUAGUACUUCAAGCACUGCCCCACAGGGUUCACCCUUCAUUACCUUAUCAAAUGAACAAAAUUUCCUCAAUAAGUCUUCCUGUACUGCAGAUAAAAAAGCAAACAAACAUUUGGGCGAGUUAAAAAAAAAGCUGACUAAAUGCAGGAAGAUCAUUCUUGUUAUUCUACCAAUAUUGCUUCCUUUGCUCCAAAGGAAAUGCUAGCUCAGAAGGAGCCAGGGGAGCAGUUAGCAGCUUCUUGCUAGAGCUCCAGUAUUUCUGCUGCACAGGCUAGAAGAUGCUGUGAGAAUGUGUGACUCAUACGGCUCAUCAUGAUUGAAACGUCUUCUGAUGCCAGUAGAAAUCUACUUAAAACCUUUCAUUUGCAGGGUAAAAAGAGAGUUGCAAUGACAUUUUCUUCUGUACAUUCACCCUGUUUUCAAAUCAGAGGGGCCCCAAGCUGCAGCAGCAACAGGGUGCUUGCAAUAUAGCUGGUUGUGACAAGGCAGCUGACAAGCCUUCCGCAUUCCACAGCUCAAUUAUUAAUAUGAAUAACUAAUGACUCACGCUGACACUACCGAGGCCGGGAAAUUUUCUGUAACUAAAGAGUUAUAAAAUGUUAUUCUCCCAUAGCACCACCGCCAAAUCGAUGAGUGAUCUGUGUAUGGCUUUGCAUUCAUUUCAAACUGAAUAUGCAUGUCCCUGCACACAUGGCUUGAAACAGUCAGAAGACUGGUGUUUAGGGGAAAGAGUUCAGUUGUAUCAGGCUAUUUAGGGGGCUAACUGCAAGAACGCAGAGACAUUUCUCACAUUAGUCCACUUGCUUACUAAUACAAAUAACUAAUGAUUAAAGCAUCUGAUCUACCGAGGGCUGUGAAACUUCUUUGUCACUGUCUGGAAAAGCCAGACUUCUCUGGAUGUUGCAGUUUAAUUUUUUUCCCCCUGCUCAGAGGACAUGGAAUGGCUUCAGCCAAUAAUUUAGAAUCAUCUGAGAGGGACAUGGCACCAAAAGCAACACUAAAUAUAUUGAUCCUCUUCUUUGCCUGGGCUAUGUGAGUUACAACUACCUUUAAGCAAGUUUCUGAGCUUUUCUUACUUGUUCCCAGUGAGCAUGCUUCUUCUUCCUUUACCCCGACAAAGUAGCAAAAAUGAGACAGCAUCACGCUCUGCUGGCUGUAUGUAUGAGCUUGCUCGUCAUUCAGUACUGUACUUGUUUUAGUCUGUGAUAUCUGCAGCAUACCGUUGGCCGUUACUUUUAAUGGCAGUAGCUCAAAAGCAAAGAACCAAAAGAACCAAAAAGGUUGAUGCUACUGCUAUUGUAUUGUGUGUAACUCAGAUGAAUAGUAUAACAUGCUUGGAUUUACAAAAGGAAAAUUUGUGAGGAUGCCAUGACUCUUUGAACAGCUUAACAGCUGCAAUUUACAUGGUGCUGUCGGCUUAUUUCCUUGCUUGGUGCUUGAGUGUGAGUGAUGAUAUAAGUCUCAACACAGAGCUGGGAACAGCAUCAGGGGCUGCCUCAACAUACAAGAGUUACCAGUGAAUUGCGUGAGUGUGGGAGGAGCAGGUCAUCUGACUCUCAUCUCGGAUGGUAGGCCAGGGAAUGUUAGGGAAUAUGCCAAGUGUUUCUGGAUGAGAGCUACAUCCCAGAGGGCUGACGGAAAUUAAAGAUACACUGGUAUAGUGGUUAAUGCUCCAAAUUCAUGGACAGUAAUAAAAAUAAUGUUGCCCAGAAAGCAGCAGGAGGCAUGCUGGAGAGAAAGAGACAGGCUAACAGAAUGAAUAGAAAUGUUUGCAUCAUUGCCAGAUGGAUGACCAGGCUGAUUAUUGCACUUGGCUUGCUCAGCUCUGCAGUGGAAGACGACUUUCUAGGUAACUGUAUACAAUGUAUUUGGGUAUGAAAAUGGGACUGCCUCAAAAGAAACAAAAACCCAUGGGAUUACGGAAGGAUAUAGCGAAUGAAAUGGAUGUAUAAUGUUGUCAUGUUGAUCUCCAACUGCUCUCAUUCUCUUCCCACUCUUUCUGUCUGUUUCUCUCUCCCAGACAUGCCAAUGUAUUCAAAUAAAUCAGCACUAAUUAAAUACACUUGGGCAGUCUUAUAUUAGCUCUCAAAAAACCCACCCCCCAAAAAAAUCUAUGAUCAAGUAAUACUACAUGUUACUGAAACUGACAAAAGAAUUCUGAGUUAAGGGUGAAAUUCACCUUCAGUGAUCAUACUAUAAAUGUUUAGGUGAAAUCCUAUAUGUAUAGCCAUCAUUGUUUGGACUGACUGCUAAACCUGAACACAGUGGUAGGUUAAAAAUAUAAUCUCAGCCUUCAAUCUGGAUUUUCUGUUUGCUUUUGUUGGUUUAACUCAAAACCUUUUUAUUUACUUGUGUGUAAUUUGUUGUGAUUUGUAACAGAUUUAAAAUAAAUUUUAAAUUGUAAUAAAAGAGAAUAAAAUCAGAACAAUAUUUGUAUUCAACUUGUAUAUACUAUAUUGCUGUUAAACAUGCAGUA